AACCUUCUGUAUCCGUGAUUAGAUUUCGUCACACACCAGAUCACAAGGGUCGAUAAGACUAAAGAUAAGUGAAGCG
rnacentral:pre_miRNA from 1 species